CUGCCCCUGAAUCCAGCUUCCUGAGGCGUUGGUUUCAAGCAGGAGCCUAAAGAGAUGUCCUUCUAUGGUCUGUUGGGCAGUGAAAUAGUCAAUUCAUUAGAAAGAAACAGCU
ensembl:snoRNA